rnacentral:rRNA from 1 species
CGUUUUAAAAUACAAAUCUUAAAAAUUUUACUUUCACUUAAUAUAAAUUAAAAUAUAAGCUAUCAAA